UGUUGGAUGCAUGUGCUAUUGGCACUGAUGGGAAUUUAUUUCCGUUGUGAAGGAGAACAGCUUUCAAACUAAUUUUUGAAGAAUCGACGAAUAAACGCCACUCUUCUGUAUCAUGGUCAUGACCAAGCACUUCCAUUAGACUAACAACAUCAAUGCAAUAUACUAAAUCAUUCUCUUGUUAAAAGAAGUCUUGAAAUUCAUAUUGACGCUUGCGAAAAAGGCAUACUUUUGUGCCUUUAUGCAGCAGAUUCCAGCCUUUUAACCUAGAGCCUAAAAGUUCACUCUGUUUUUUGGAUAAAUCUAAAUCAUGUACGAGGUCGUUCAAAUCUCCUUGGGUUAACAAAUGAGGUUCAGAUGAAGCACCUGCUUCAAAAUUUGUUUCAUUCGACUGUUGCUCUCGUCUAUCUGAAUCAUCGUCACUAAAUAUUACAUUUUCAGGAGGCUGUGGCACAGGUAAAAUAUCACUAUGAGGAACCGGUCUCAUAGCAGAAGGCAAAUCUGGAUAGUCAACUGUAUGUCUUGAUUUGGAUGUAAUACCUGUAGUCUUUGUCAAAGAAAAAUAACAGUCUGAAGAAUGGUCUUUAGGUUCCCUCCAUAUCAUUGGAACCGCAAAAGGCAUAUGACGUUCACCUUUAAUCCACCCUAUAAGACGUCGAGCACAAAUUUCACAACAAUGAUGAGGAUCCCAAGUCUUAUUUUGGUCACCGACUUUACAGCCAAAAUGAAGUUGAUAGCACUUUUUGAUAAGAAAUGUAAAGUUUUGCCAUUGAACUUUGAAAGUUAAUUCCCCACAAAUGUAACGGAAAACAUAAGGAAUAUUAAUGCAACGCCUCGGCAUAUUGACAGUCUAGUGCACACGAUUUAUAAAAGCAAAUCGAUAGAGAAGAAUAAACUGAUCACUUCAAAUUUACCUGUCACUUCUGAUUCAAAUAUAUUAAACAAAUCGUUAGGUUCAAUUUAAAUAUAUAUAUAUUAAAACUGUUAUUCAGCAAAUAGCAUUCCAGAGCUUGUCGUUAUUUUUGAGUUGAAAGCAAAACAGAUUGCAUUAUAAAAUAAACAUAUUUAAUUAAAAAUUCAAUAAUUUUUUAUUUAAAUUAAUAUUUAUGAUUCUCAAAGAGAAAAAAUUAAUAACAAAUAAAAUAAAGCUUUCGGCUCCACCUAUCAACUCUUCUCGUCAAAAAUAAAGCGCUAGCUAAUAAUAAUAGAAAAAAUGGUUAUCCUGCAACAACUAUGGGUGAUGGAAAACUUCUGAUUUCGUUUUUUAAUUCAGCAUGAAAAGUUACAUUAGAAUCAACAUCAGGUGUUCUCCGGCAAAAAAAAAAGUUUUUUUUUGUAGACCUGUGUAAUCAAAAUAAUUGAUAAUAAAUAGUGAAUAUUAGUGAAUACAAAAUUUAAUUGAAGGUUAAUGCAAAAAAAUUCCCUUUCAGGUGAGAAACUAUAGGCAUUGGUGCUUAUGCCUAAAAAAGUAAAUAAAGUGAAGAUCAAAAUCGAAAAAGUUAAAACUAAAUAGUUUAUUAACAAACAAAUACAAAAAAAAAUCAUUUCGGGUGAGAAACUAUUAGUUAAAUUUAUUAUAACUAUAUUCAAAAUGGGAAAAAAAGACGUAGUAGUUAUUUUGCUCCUCCACAUUCUCAUGUUUAAUAAGCAAUUUCUGGUGAGGAAAUAUAGCUAUUGGUGAAAUGUUCAAAUAAAUAUAUUUAAAGUAAAAAAAGAAACUGAAAAUAAAAUGCAAUUCUAGUUUUCAUAUAUCUGGGUUCAACUUUAUAUGUAUUCUAUCCAGAAUUCGCACUUGAUAAAAAGCCACAUAGAGCUGUUCAUGUGUAAACACAGGCUCUUGUAGCAAGAGACCCACUCUAGCAAAGGUUUGGCCAUGAGCCUUUAUUUAUAGUCAUAGUCAAACCCAACCUUAGUGGAAACUGAUGCCUCUUCAGAAUGAAGGGAAGGUUGUUAUCAGAAGGAGCCAAAGAAGAACAAAUAAUACAAAAAGAACGUGUUUUAAAAACAAACAAUUCGAUGAUGAUACAUAACAAAUAAGAUAAGCAACAUUUGAAGGCAAAAAAUCUACGAUUGCAAAAUCGAAUAAAUUAAAAAUAAAUAAAUGUGAUGAAUUAUCCUGUCGACUAAAAAUGUGGUGAGGUCCUGUUGACUCUUGUAGAAUCCUGUCGACUCUCGCUAUACUGUGUUAACCGAGAGGAACAGUCAGGAUGGGGAGUUUUCCAGUACCUCUCUGCACCUUGGGAGACCUUUAACAGUUCUCACAGGCAGUCGUGGUCGAGGCAGAGUGGAAAGCUUGGGAAUGUCCACACAAAAAGCGAAGACACAGUUGCACUAGGAAAGUUCCGUGAACAGAUAAAGGUUGAGCUAGGAGGGAAAGAUGGAGAUAAGAGUUCUUACUGGUCUACAUGGUGGAUGAGGAGGACCUUGGUGACAACCGACGAGGGCUUCCGCUGAUGGUGAAGUGACUAUAUUUUUGGCUAGGGCGGAGGUAUUAUAUAUAUUUGCCGAGAGAGGAAGUAUUGCAUUUCAUCAGAUGCAACAAGAGCGUGGAUCGGCUGGCGAAAUUGUACACUGGCGCCGUCCUGACAGUUUCCUAUCCAUCUUUAGAUGUUGUUGUGGGACUUCCAUCUAUCUCGAUUUUAGACGUUUUUGACUUCUAUCUCUUGCUACAGCUCAGCUCUUAAUCUAUUAGAGUUUUAUUUAUUUAUCCUCAGUUUGUACAAAGUACUUUACAUAUGAUGAGGUAAUGACACAUGCCAAUAAUGCGUAUAAUCAUUUAAAGAUGUGUUUCUAUUAUACAACAUUAAAUUUUUUUAAAAGUAUUAUUCAAUACGGGGUUGUGUGUGUUGGUUUAAAUUAUCAUAUAAAUCUAUUAAUAUUUGGAAAAUAAAAAUAAAACUGUCAUGUGAAGCAAAAGAUAACGAAAAUUUUGGUAUAUAGAUGGCUAUUUAUAGUUAAGUAUCUUUGGAGGAGAUAGCUUUUAACUUUACAACUGUGAACUCUGUUAGCCCAUUAUCUAUAUAGAAUAGGAUUUUCUGUAAGGUGUUUGUGCAAUUGGUCCAUUAUCAGUUAACUUAAUGCUACAAGGAGUCAUAUUAAUUUUACUUACAUUAAAUUUAUGCUUUGUAAGGUAUCAAAACUAUGCUGGAAUGGAACCUCUGAUUUGUUAUUCGAUUCAUUUGAAAAAUGAUCAUCAAAUUUGGUAAUUUUAGAAAAAUUAGGUAUUUGUUUAAAAUUAGACAAAGGAUUUACUUCGAAUAAACAAUAUUUAUAAUGUGAUAUGGAUCAGGGAUGCAAUUAAUUAUAUGAUUUAUUAGGUUGGUUGGAGUACGUAAAUGAUAGUAAGACUUUAUAGUUUUGGAAAAGGUUUUUUGAAAAAUCUAUUUGUAACCUAAAUUUAUAAAAUGUUGGUAAGCCCAAAAUAAGAUAUUCUAUUUGACUAUUACAAACAAACAUUUAUUGAUACCUUGUAAAUUUUCCUAAGGUAAGCCUAACUAAUAUUUUGCAUAACGGGUAAUUAAAUCCUCUACCUGACCUAUUCUUUCUUUUGGGGAAUUUUCUAAUACUUUAUAAUAUAGUUUGAAUAUUUUAAAGGGAUAAUGGAAAUAGACGAUGCAGUGUCAAGUACACAAGAUAUUUGGUUUAUAAAUACAGAGAGUAGCAAUUAAAAGAACUUUAUUGACCUCUUGUCAAUGCUUACACUCACAAAGAGUUAAGGUAAGAAAUAAUGAAAUAAAACAUUUACAAUAUAUGUAUACAGAGGGUGUUUCCUUUCAAAUGAAACGAUUUCAAACGUCCGUUAGAACUUUAUUUUUCGAACGUGAAUUUUUUUCAUGUGUUCUAUGUGCUUCCCCUUCUUCUUGGCUAUCUCCCUGCAUCGGACUUUCCAAGCUGCGAACACUUCCUUGACUUUGGAGAGCGAAACAUUCGACCACUCCUCUUGUGCGGCUUUCCAAAGUCCGGCCUCAGUUUUGGGACGUCGGUUGAAGAGCCGUUGUUUCAACAUACCGAACCCGUAAAAAUCCAGUGGGCUGGCGUCGGGAGACUUCACUGGAAUGUCCGAGUUCCUGAUAAAAUUUAGGCCUAGGGUGUCCUUCAUUUCUUGUAGGAACUGUUGGGUUUUGUUGGAGGUAUGGGAAGAGGCUUUGUCGUGAUGAAGGAACACUUUGUCCAUUUCCCCUGGGUAAAGGUCCUUCAGUUGUUCGAUGACAGGUUUCAGAACGCAUUCUAUAUAGAAUUCUGAGUUCACCUUCACCUUCGAUGGAACCUUUAUGAGCGGAAGGACUCCACGCCCAGUCAUUACCCCGACAACCAUGAAACCUUUAGGGAAAGUUUCGGAGCAUUGGUGAACCCAAUUAUCCGGGACCUGAUUGCCUCUUUUGAUGUAACAGAUCUUCCGGAUUCCAUUGCAAUACGUCACAUACAUCCAUGCUUCGUCCAAUGUUGCAGUAUAUUCCGAUCUGGAACCGGCCAGGUGUUCCUCGUAGAGCUUCCGGGCAUUCGUUGCACGGUUUUUCAUGUGGAAAGGGGUGAGCUUGUGAACCUUGCCUUUUCGUCGGGUAUCCAGUUCCAAAUCUUUGUGAAUGAUGUUAUUUAUCGUUUUUAGCGAUGUUCCACACAUUCUGGAAAGUUGGCGCUGAGAUGGUGGAUUUUCAGUAGUUGCUAGCCGCUUUACUUUGGAAACCGUGGCGGGGGUCCGCACCGGACGUGGUCGAUCGACUUGAAAUUUUUGCCCAUUGGAUUCAGCUUCCCUUUUCUUUCCGAUGCCAUUUACUACCCUACAUAUUGUAGCUUUGCCAACAUCUAGUCCUUCUGCUUUUAGCUUUUUCACUAUGACGCUAUAACUGUUUCCUUCUUUGGAAAGGGUCCGAAUUGUUUGUUCGACUUGGAGCGUUAGUCUCUCUCCCCCCAUGUUGCAAAAAUCAUGAUACCUGAUGAAAAUGAAUUCUCCAGAAGAUUCUAGAUCUAUUGGAACCAGUGUCGUGUGCAGCAUGCCUGCACGUGCAAAACGCGAGCGCUCGAAAAUCGUUUCAUUUGAAAGGAAACACCCUCCGUAUAUCAGGCGGAGCUCUCACCGAGGGGACGCCUGGAUAUUUUCAAGAACUAAGAGUUGCCUGGAUUGUGGUCAGGUUUCUGCGGAUUAAAGGAUCUGCAUCCCCAGCAAGCUCGAAGACUUUGUUGAGGAAAUCAAUAAGGAUCGGCCUGUUUUCAGGCAAAAGGGUCCCAAAGAAGGUGGUCUGUUCGGGGUGCAUGAUCGCCCCGAUGACAUCACCCGGUUUUAUCUGCUGGUGAGUCAAUGGCCUCAGGGUGGAUUCAAAUUCCAAUUGCUCGAAUAUUACCAGUAUCUGAUUCUGACGGCGCUCACUCUGAGCAUACUCAUGUUCUCUGGUCAUGUUGUCAAGUUCGGUUUUGACCUUCCUGAGGAUCUUGUAGAUGUUGGUGGUGCCUCCGGGCUUCAGGUCUAGCAACCGAUCGGCCAACCCGGCGAGAGCAUCCUUCUGCGCGGGUGUGAUCGGGUGUCUCCGCUUUUUGACCCUGGCUCUUGAGGAGAGGAGGUCCAAGACCUCCCCCCAGCCAAGUCCAAGGCCUUCUGUCUCAGUGAAGGAGACUCCGGAGUUUCUCUCAAGAAAGUCCGCAUGGUCGCCUCUUAUUGUUCGCCCCAAGGAUGACGUGGGGGAUGGCUCGAGGGUCCCCUGAACAGGCAGAGGAACAGAAGGGGCAACGUAGGCCGGCUGAGCUUGAGGCGCUGCUCCGGCAGGCUGAAAGGCCGGAGGGCGAGGGUCCGCGGAAGCCUCAGGUGCUUCCAUAGAUGGAGUAGUGAUCGCCGGUGGAGGAGUCUGCACCUCCACAGAUGAUGCCGGGCGUGCUGUCGUAGGCGGCCGAGGCGUGAUGGAAGGGGGCUCCAUUGCCUGUGGGGCGCUGUUGGAGGUGGGCGGCGCCAGCACUUCAAUUACCACUUCCAUGGGCUCAACGAGAGCGGACUCGGGCUCGUGGGUACUCUUGGCGAGCAAAAGAGGAGGAGCCACGGUGUCUAUAGCGGUUCUGGCAGGCAGGGUGGCGGAAGGGCCAGAAGCUGAGGUCUGAAGCGCAGGGCACUUACUGACCAACUUCGGUGACGAAUCCGGGGCCGCUGGUGUUGGGCGGGUCGGCUGCUGGGACGCGGUGGGCGACGCACCAGGAGGAUGGGAUGCGGGGUGUGGCUGGCUUGUGUUGGUAGGCCGGUUCAGAAUUGUGGGGCAGUUUGCCCGACGGUGGCCCUGCCGGCCACAUCUGGAGCAUUUGAUCCCGAACGCCAGAAACGUCGGAAGGGUGUUACCUUUGCUGGUGAUGUCCAGGCGCGUCGGCAGGUUCUGGAGGGAAACUCCAUCGUUCAGGAGGAUAAAGGCCUCUCGGCGGCCGUACGGGAUAAUGGAAAUAGAUGAUGCAGUGUCAAGUACACAAGGUAAAGAUAUAUGGUUUAUAAGUACAGAGAAUAGUAAUAAUGUUCUACCUGGGUUGAUGGGCUUUGGAGGAGUAUUCUUCCUAAGUGGGCAGUCUUUAUGAAAAUGCAUUUGGUUGGGUAACUGGUCUGUGGAACAUAUCUUGCAGGGGUAUGGGGGUAGGUUUAUUGAUUUGUGAGGUUCUUACUGGUGGUGAGUUGCUGCUGCUGUCCUGGGAAAAGGCUGGUAUUGAUGACCUUGGGAGUAGCUGGGGUUAAAUCUUCUUACUGAAGUAUAUGGUCUAUUUGAAUAAGCGAUAGACCUCUUCCUGUUUAGAUAAUCACAUAAAGUAAAGCACGAAGGAAGAUGAGUUUCUUUUUAAUAAACGCGAGCGAGCUUUCGGGCCACACGCCCUUCUACUGGCAAAAAGCUAAGAGAUUCAAAGAUAUACAAGCCUAUUUAUACUAUGGUAAGCAAAAUUUUAGCAUAUUUACAUUUUUUCUUAUAGACGGAGAAACAAAAUACAACUAUGAUUACAAUUAAGAUAUGCAAAUAUAGGGAUUAUAUGGUCUAUUGCUUGUACUUGUAGAGGGUUGUUGGGGUUCUUCUUCUUGAUUUGAUGAUAAUUUUAACAGAGUUGUAAUUUUAAUCCAAUCUGAUGGUUCUUGGACUCUUGCAGCUAUUAAAUAUUUUUUGAGGUGGUUUGGCAUCCCAUCUGUGAGAGCCUCCAUCUGGAGCAUCCACCUGAGGUGCCCCCUUUUUUAUUAAUAAGGGUUAUUUGAAAAAAAAAGUGUUUUAUUUGUCAUUAUCUUAAGCGGGCGUGAGUAAGUAUUUGUUAUCCAAGCAUGAGAUUGCCUGUUUUUCACAAUGAUUAAGCACCUAGCUAUUCUAAGGCCGUUUGAAUCAGCUUAUUAUUUUGUUCAAUAAUAUAUUUGCCGUCAUUCGUCUCGAUUCCUACUUUGACCAGUUUGACUGAAAGCCCUGGAAUUCUAAAUUUCUUACGUUUAUGUAAUUUUUUUCAGAAAAUUUGGAUUCAUAAUUUAUAUCAUAUUCUAUCUGUUCGACUUCACAAUUUUUGCUUCAAUUCUCUUCAAGUCUUUCUAGGAUGAGCGUUUUGAAGAUAGAUUUCAUUACAACAAACGUCUGAGAACAAGCUUCAAUUUUGAUCUCAAUUUCUAUAUUUCCGAUCAUAUCAAGUUUUUCUUUCCAUCUGGACCAGCACAAAUGGUGUUGCAUUUAUUUAUUUCUCUGCUCCUAUAUAUAUAUCAACAUAUAUAUUCCCCCUCAAUUCCUCAUGUCACGGAUGCGCGCGCAUCAUCAUUAUGAUCAUUAUCAUUAUCUAAUGAUAAUAAUAAUAAUAAUUAUUAUUAUUAUUAUUUUAUUAUCAACAUAUAUAGUCACGACCGUCUUUCCACCGUCAUGUCACGGAUGCGCGCGCAUCAUCAUUAUGAUCAUUAUCAUUAUCUAAUGAUAAUAAUAAUAAUUAUUAUUAUUAUAUUAAUAUUAUUAUUAUUAUCAACAUAUAUAGUCACGACCGUCUUUCCACCGUCAUGUCACGGAUGCGCGCGCAUCAUCAUUAUGAUCAUUAUCAUUAUCUAAUGAUAAUAAUAAUAAUUAUUAUUAUUAUAUUAUUAUUAUUAUUAUUAUUAUCAACAUAUAUAGUCACGACCGUCUUUCCACCGUCAUGUCACGGAUGAGCGCGCAUCAUCAUUAUGAUCAUUAUCAUUAUCUGAUGAUAAUAAUAAUUAUUAUUAUAUUAUUAUUAUUAUUAUUAUCAACAUAUAUAGUCACGACCGUCUGUCGACCUCAUGUCACGGAUGCGCGCGCAUCAUCAUUAUGAUCAUUAUAUCAUUAUCUAAUGAUAAUAAUAAUAUUAUUAUUAUAUUAUUAUUAUUAUUAUUAUUAAUCAACAUAUAUAGUCACGACCGUCUGUCGACCUCAUGUCACGGAUGCGCGCGCAUCAUCAUUAUGAUCAUUAUCUUCUAUAGAAGCUUCUAUCUUUAUAAUUAUGUAUAUUGACAAAAAGUCAAUUCGCUCGCGACUCUAGCGGUGAAAAUGAGGGGUCAUACCAGCUGACCUAAUGUACAUGUAAAGUUUGGAGCGGGACGUUUCACAAGAGUGACAUCCACGGCUCCAAUUUAUAAUUGUAACAAAUAGUAUUGGAAUAAAAACAUUCAAUCGGGUAAAACACGGGCGUUGCCCGGGUCAUUCGUCUAGUUAAUAUAUAGUCACGACCGUCUUUCCUCAAUUCCUCAUCGCUGUCACGGAUGCGCGCGCAUCAUCAUUAGAUCAUUAUCAU